GCGCCCGCAGCCCAGCCGCGCGGUAGCGCGUGCGACUGUUAAUCGCGAGGUCGAGGGUUCGAACCCCUCCGGUGCA